rnacentral:rRNA from 1 species
GACCUCAAAUCAGGUAGGACUACCCGCUGAACUUAAGCAUAUCAAUAAGCGGAGGAAAAGAAACUAACAAGGAUUCCCCUAGUAACUGCGAGUGAAGCGGGAAAAGCUCAAAUUUAAAAUCUGGCGACCUUUGGCCGUCCGAGUUGUAAUCUAGAGAAGUGUUAUCCGCGCUGGACCGUGUACAAGUCUCCUGGAAUGGAGCGUCAUAGAGGGUGAGAAUCCCGUCUUUGACACGGACUGCCAGGGCUUUGUGAUGCGCUCUCAAAGAGUCGAGUUGUUUAGGAAUGCAGCUCAAAAUGGGUGGUAAAUUCCAUCUAAAGCUAAAUAUUGGCGAGAGACCGAUAGCGAACAAGUACCGUGAGGGAAAGAUGAAAAGAACUUUGGAAAGAGAGUUAAACAGUACGUGAAAUUGCUGAAAGGGAAACGCUUGAAGUCAG